UGGGGAAUUUUGGACAAUGGACGCAAGUCUGAUCCAGCCAUGCCGCGUGCGGGAAGAAGGCCUUCGGGUUGUAAACCGCUUUUGUCAGGGAAGAAACGAGUUUCUCUAAUACAGAGACUUAAUGACGGUACCUGAAGAAUAAGCACCGGCUAACCACGUGCCAGCAGCCGCGGUAAUACGUAGGGUGCAAGCGUUAAUCGGAAUUACUGGGCGUAAAGCGUGCGCAGGCGGUUAUGCAAGACAGAUGUGAAAUCCCCGGGCUCAACCUGGGAACUGCAUUUGUGACUGUAUAGCUAGAGUACGGCAGAGGGGGAUGGAAUUCCGCGUGUAGCAGUGAAAUGCGUAGAUAUGCGGAGGAACACCGAUGGCGAAGGCAAUCCCCUGGGCCUGUACUGACGCUCAUGCACGAAAGCGUGGGGAGCAAACA
rnacentral:rRNA from 1 species